GAUGAACGCUAGCGGCAGGCUUAACACAUGCAAGUCGAGGGGUAGGAGAAGCUUGCUUUUCUGAGACCGGCGCACGGGUGCGUAACGCGUAUGCAAUCUACCUUUCACAGAGGGAUAGCCCAGAGAAAUUUGGAUUAAUACCUCAUAGUAUAAUUGAAUGGCAUCAUUUAAUUAUUAAAGAUUUAUCGGUGAAAGAUGAGCAUGCGUCCCAUUAGCUAGUUGGUAUGGUAACGGCAUACCAAGGCAACGAUGGGUAGGGGUCCUGAGAGGGAGAUCCCCCACACUGGUACUGAGACACGGACCAGACUCCUACGGGAGGCAGCAGUGAGGAAUAUUGGACAAUGGGCGCAAGCCUGAUCCAGCCAUGCCGCGUGCAGGAUGACGGUCCUAUGGAUUGUAAACUGCUUUUAUACAGGAAGAAACACUCCCUCGUGAGGGAGCUUGACGGUACUGUAAGAAUAAGGAUCGGCUAACUCCGUGCCAGCAGCCGCGGUAAUACGGAGGAUCCAAGCGUUAUCCGGAAUCAUUGGGUUUAAAGGGUCCGUAGGCGGUCAGGUAAGUCAGUGGUGAAAGCCCAUCGCUCAACGGUGGAACGGCCAUUGAUACUGUCUGACUUGAAUUAUUAGGAAGUAACUAGAAUAUGUAGUGUAGCGGUGAAAUGCUUAGAGAUUACAUGGAAUACCAAUUGCGAAGGCAGGUUACUACUAAUAUAUUGACGCUGAUGGACGAAAGCGUGGGUAGCGAACAGGAUUAGAUACCCUGGUAGUCCACGCCGUAAACGAUGGAUACUAGCUGUUGGGAGCAAUCUCAGUGGCUAAGCGAAAGUGAUAAGUAUCCCACCUGGGGAGUACGAACGCAAGUUUGAAACUCAAAGGAAUUGACGGGGGCCCGCACAAGCGGUGGAGCAUGUGGUUUAAUUCGAUGAUACGCGAGGAACCUUACCAAGGCUUAAAUGUAGUUUGACCGGUUGGAAACAG
rnacentral:rRNA from 1 species